rnacentral:misc_RNA from 1 species
GAUGAAGAACGUAGCGAAAUGCGAUAAGUAAUGUGAAUUGCAGAAUUCAGUGAAUCAUCGAAUCUUUGAACGCACAUUGCGCCCGCCAGUAUUCUGGCGGGCAUGCCUGUUCGAGCGUCAUUUCAACCAUCAAGCUCCCGGGCUUGCGUUGGGGCCCUGCGGCUGCCGCAGGCCCCUAAAACCAGUGGCGGGCUCGCUGUCACACCGAGCGCAGUAGCAUUUCUUCGCUCUGGGCGCGGCGGCGGGCGCUUGCCGUAAACCAUACCACUUUUUAAAGGUUGACCUCGGAUCAGGUAGGAAUACCCGCUGAACUUAAGCAUAUCAAUAAGCGGAGGA